rnacentral:rRNA from 1 species
GGACGAACGCUGGCGGCGUGCUUAACACAUGCAAGUCACGGGGGUCUCGCAAGAGAGAACCGGCGAACGGGUGCGUAACACGUGAACAACCUGCCGUUGUGAGGGGGAUAGCCGGGCUAACGCCCGGGUAAUACCGCAUACGCUGCCCGAGGGGAGUCCCUUGGGGAGGAAAGCCAUGGCGCAAGCGAUGGCGCACGACGAGGGGUUCGCGGCCUAUCAGCUAGUUGGGGG